CACAAGUUGAGAAAAGCUUAACUUGAACUCCUAAAAACUUUUCUUUUUCAUAAUAAUCUCCCUAUAAGAGCCAUCUAAUCGGUGGCUUUUUU
rnacentral:sRNA from 1 species